rnacentral:rRNA from 1 species
GAACGUACGCUGGCGGCACGCCUAACACAUGCAAGUCGAACGAAGUAGCAAUACUUAGUGGCAGACGGGUGAGUAACAUGUAGGUAUCUGCCCUUUGGCCUGGAAUAACACGAGGAAACUUGUGCUAAUACCGGAUAAGUCUUUACGGAGAAAGCUUUAUGCACCAUUGGAUGAGCCUGCACUUGAUUAGUUUGUUGGUGGGGUAAUGGCCUACCAAGACUGUGAUCAAUAGCUGAUUUGAGAGGAUGAUCAGCCACAUUGGGACUGAGACACGGCCCAAACUCCUACGGGAGGCAGCAGUGGGGAAUCUUGCACAAUGGAGGAAACUCUGAUGCAGCGAUGCCGCGUGAGUGAAGAAGGCCUUUGGGUUGUAAAGCUCUUUCGUCGGGGAAGAAAAUGACUGUACCCGAAUAAGAAGGUCCGGCUAACUUCGUGCCAGCAGCCGCGGUAAUACGAAGGGACCUAGCGUAGUUCGGAAUUACUGGGCUUAAAGAGUUCGUAGGUGGUUGAAAAAGUUGGUGGUGAAAUCCCAGAGCUUAACUCUGGAACUGCCAUCAAAACUUUUCAGCUAGAGUAUGAUAGAGGAAAGCAGAAUUUCUAGUGUAGAGGUGAAAUUCGUAGAUAUUAGAAAGAAUACCAAUUGCGAAGGCAGCUUUCUGGAUCAUUACUGACACUGAGGAACGAAAGCAUGGGUAGCGAAGAGGAUUAGAUACCCUCGUAGUCCAUGCCGUAAACGAUGUGUGUUAGACGUUGGAAAUUUAUUUUCAGUGUCGCAGCGAAAGCGAUAAACACACCGCCUGGGGAGUACGACCGCAAGGUUAAAACUCAAAUGAAUUGACGGGGACCCGCACAAGUAGUGGAGCAUGUGGUUUAAUUCGAAGAUACGCGCAGAACCUUACCAACACUUGACAUGUUCGUCGCGACUCUAAGAGAUUAGAGUUUUCGGUUCGGCCGGACGAAACACAGGUGCUGCAUGGCUGUCGUCAGCUCGUGUCGUGAGAUGUUGGGUUAAGUCCCGCAACGAGCGCAACCCUCACUUUUAGUUGCCAUCAUUAAGUUGGGCACUCUGAAAGAACUGCCAGUGAUAAGCUGGAGGAAGGUGGGGAUGACGUCAAGUCCUCAUGGCCCUUACGUGUUGGGCUACACACGUGCUACAAUGGUAUCUACAACAGGAAGCAAAACGGCAACGUUAAGCAAAUCCCAAAAAGAUACCUCAGUUCGGAUUGCACUCUGCAACUCGAGUGCAUGAAGCUGGAAUUACUAGUAAUCGUGGAUCAGCGUGCCACGGUGAAUGCGUUCCCGGGUCUUGCACUCACCGCCCGUCAAGGG